GAUGAACGCUAGCGACAGGCCUAACACAUGCAAGUCGAGGGGUAACAGGGGCUUCGGCCCGCUGACGACCGGCGCACGGGUGAGUAACGCGUAUGCAACCUGCCUGUAACAGCGGGAUAGCUCCCUGAAAGGGGAAUUAACACCGCAUAAGACCACGCUCUCGCAUGGGGACGGGGUAAAAUAUUUAUAGGUUACAGAUGGGCAUGCGUGACAUUAGUUAGGUGGUGAGGUAACGGCUCACCAAGACAGCGAUGUCUAGGGGUUUUGAGAGGAAGGCCCCCCACACUGGGACUGAGACACGGCCCAGACUCCUACGGGAGGCAGCAGUGAGGAAUAUUGGACAAUGGAUGGAAACCUGAUCCAGCCAUGCCGCGUGCAGGAAGACGGCCUUAUGGGUUGUAAACUGCUUUUAUACGGGAGCAAUAAGGGUUACGAGUAAUCCGAUGAGAGUACUGUAUGAAUAAGGAUCGGCUAACUCCGUGCCAGCAGCCGCGGUAAUACGGAGGAUCCGAGCGUUAUCCGGAAUUAUUGGGUUUAAAGGGUGCGUAGGCGGCCAUUUAAGUCAGCGGUGAAAUUUUGCAGCUUAACUGUAACAGUGCCGUUGAUACUGUUUGGCUAGGAUUUGGUUGUAGUGUGCGGAAUGUGUGGUGUAGCGGUGAAAUGCUUAGAUAUCACACAGAACACCGAUUGCGAAGGCAGCACACUAAGUCAUUAUUGACGCUGAGGCACGAAAGUGUGGGGAUCAAACAGGAUUAGAUACCCUGGUAGUCCACACUGUAAACGACGAUAACUCGCUGUCGGCGAUACACAGUCGGUGGCCAAGCGAAAGCAUUAAGUAAUCCACCCGGGGAGUACGGCCGCAAGGUUAAAACUCAAAGGAAUAGACGGGGGCCCGCACAAGCAGUGGAGUAUGUGGAUUAAUUAGAGGCAACGCGAAGAACCUUACCAGGGCUUGACAUCUCCUGCAGACACAAGAGAUUGUGUUGUCCCUUCGGGGCAGGAAGACAGGUGGUGCAUGGUUGUCGUCAGCUCGUGUCGUGAGAUGUUCGGUUAAGUCCGGCAACGAGCGCAACCCCUGUGGCCAGUUGCCAUCAUUCAGUUGGGCACUCUGGCAAGACCGCCGUUAACAAAACGGAGGAAGGUGGGGAUGACGUCAAAUCAUCAUGCCCCUUAUGUCCUGGGCUUCACACGUACUACAAUGGGUGGUACAGAGGGCAGCGAAGUCGUGAGGCCAAGCUAAUCCCUUAAAGCCAUUCUCAGUUCGGAUUGUAGGCUGAAACUCGCCUACAUGAAGCUGGAGUUACUAGUAAUCGCAGAUCAGAAUGCUGCGGUGAAUAAGGUCCCGGGUCUUGCACUCACCGCCCGU
rnacentral:rRNA from 1 species